rnacentral:rRNA from 1 species
GGCCAUGGCGGCAGCUACACAUGCAGUCGAGCGGUAACACAGAGGAGCUUGCUCCUUGGGUGACGAGCGGCGGACGGGUGAGUAAUGCCUGGGGAUCUGCCCGAUAGAGGGGGAUAACUACGGGAAACUGUAGCUAAUACCGCAUAAUGUCUACGGACCAAAGUGGGGGCUCUUCGGACCUCAUGCUAUCGGAUGAACCCAGGUGGGAUUAGCUAGUUGGUGAGGUAAUGGCUCACCAAGGCGACGAUCUCUAACUGGUUUGAGAGAAUGACCAGUCACACUGGAACUGAGACACGGUCCAGACUCCUACGGGAGGCAGCAGUGGGGAAUAUUGCACAAUGGGCGCAAGCCUGAUGCAGCCAUGCCGCGUGUGUGAAGAAGGCCUUCGGGUUGUAAAGCACUUUCGGGAGGAAGGGUCACUAGUUAAUACCUAGUGGCAUUGACGUUACUCGCAGAAGAAGCACCGGCUAACUCCGUGCCAGCAGCCGCGGUAAUACGGAGGGUGCAGCGUUAAUCGGAAUUACUGGGCGUAAAGCGCACGCAGGCGGUUUGUUAAGUCAGAUGUGAAAUCCCCGAGCUCAACUUGGGAACUGCAUUUGAAACUGGCAAGCUAGAGUCUUGUAGAGGGGGGUAGAAUUCCAGGUGUAGCGGUGAAAUGCGUAGAGAUCUGGAGGAAUACCGGUGGCGAAGGCGGCCCCCUGGACAAAGACUGACGCUCAGGUGCGAAAGCGUGGGGAGCAAACAGGA